rnacentral:rRNA from 1 species
GUGAGGAAUUUUGCGCAAUGGGCGAAAGCCUGACGCAGCGACGCCGCGUGGAGGACGAAGGUCUUCGGAUCGUAAACUCCUGUCAAGCGGGACGAAACCCGGUUGGAUGAAUAAGCCGGCCGGUUGACGGUACCGCUGAAGGAAGCCCCGGCUAACUCCGUGCCAGCAGCCGCGGUAAUACGGAGGGGGCCAGCGUUGUUCGGAAUUAUUGGGCGUAAAGGGCGCGUAGGUGGCCGUGCAAGUCGGAGGUGAAAGCCCUCGGCUCAACCGAGGAACUGCCCCCGAUACUGCAUGGCUUGAGUCCCGGAGAGGGUGGUGGAAUUCCCAGUGUAGCGGUGAAAUGCGUAGAUAUUGGGAGGAACACCGGUGGCGAAGGCGGCCACCUGGACGGGUACUGACGCUGAGGCGCGAAAGCGUGGGGAGCAAACAGGAUUAGAAACCCCAGUAGUCC